GGAUACUUAAUUCAGGGGCAGAAACACCAGCUCAUAACUGGUAAGUCAUCGGUUCGAUUCCGAUAGUAUCCA
rnacentral:tRNA from 5 species